rnacentral:piRNA from 1 species
UCCACUGUUGAACUACUUUCC